rnacentral:ncRNA from 1 species
CUCUGAGCCAUCACAUUGGCCCAGGGCAAAGGAG